rnacentral:lncRNA from 1 species
AGCCAACUUUAUUCAUUUGUUGGUUAGGGUUAGGCCCAAUUUGGAAACCAUAAACGAGAAAAUGAGUUUAACCAAUUUUAGUUACGAUUUUCAACUAUAAAAAUUAUAAAACUAUUAAUUUCUUUGUUUGGCCUUGUCAAGAUGAAAGGAAAUUGGAAUUCUCCAUGAACACAUUAACUGUUAGUGAGUUAGACACUGUAGUUAGAUACUGUAGUUAGAUACUGUAGUUAGAUAAUGUAGUUAGACACUGUAGUUAGACACUGUAGUUAGAUACUUGUGUUAGAUACUGUAGUUAGAUACUGUAGUUAGAUACUGUAGUCAGGGUUAGUGUGUUAGAUACUGUAGUUAGGGUUAGUGUGUUAGAUACUGUAGUUAGAUACUGUAGUUAGAUACUGUAGUCAGGGUUAGUGAGUUAGACACUAGUUAGAUACUGUAGUUAGAUACUGUAGUUAGAUACUGUAGUUCGAUACUGUAGUUAGGGUUAGUGAGUUAGACACUAGUUAGAUACUGUAGUUAGAUACUGUAGUUCGAUACUGUAGUUAGGGUUAGUGUGUUAGACACUGAAGUUAGAUACUGUAGUCAGGGUUAGUGAGUUAGACACUAGUUAGAUACUGUAGUUAGAUACUGUAGUUAGAUACUGUAGUUAGGGUUAAUGUGUUAGAUACUGUAGUUAGAUUCUGUAGUCAGGGUUAGUGUGUUAGAUACUUGUGUUAGAUACUGUAGUUAGGGUUAGUGUGUUAGAUACUGUAGUUAGAUACUGUAGUCAGGGUUAGUGUGUUAGAUACUGUAGUUAGAUACUGUAGUCAGGGUUAGUGUGUUAGACACUGUAGUUAG